rnacentral:rRNA from 1 species
GAUGAACGCUGGCGGCGUGCCUAAUACAUGCAAGUCGAGCGAAUGGAUUAAGAGCUUGCUCUUAUGAAGUUAGCGGCGGACGGGUGAGUAACACGUGGGUAACCUGCCCAUAAGACUGGGAUAACUCCGGGAAACCGGGGCUAAUACCGGAUAACAUUUUGCACCGCAUGGCCCGAAAUUGAAAGGCGGCUUCGGCUGUCACCUAUGGAUGGACCCGGGUCGCAUUAGCUAGUUGGUGAGGUAACGGCUCACCAAGGCAACGAUGCGUGGCCGACCUGAGAGGGUGAUCGGCCACACUGGGACUGAGACACGGCCCAGACUCCUACGGGAGGCAGCAGUAGGGAAUCUUCCGCAAUGGACGAAAGUCUGACGGAGCAACGCCGCGUGAGUGAUGAAGGCUUUCGGGUCGUAAAACUCUGUUGUUAGGGAAGAACAAGUGCUAGUUGAAUAAGCUGGCACCUUGACGGUACCUAACCAGAAAGCCACGGCUAACUACGUGCCAGCCGCCGCGGUAA